CCCUUUUCAAGCCAUUGAGCUAAGUUUUCAAACCGGGGCAUUAACUCAGCAUGAUAUCUUCAGUAGAAAAUAUUAAAUUCACAAUUACGAAAAAUAUAUCAUAAGCGAUGGCAAAAAUCAUCAGCCAAGACAAAAAUAUGCUCUGUUAACUGAAGAGCAGGCAAGAAGAAUUGAUCAAUGCACUCACAGAACCUACAAAACUUUUCAAAAGAUGAUGAUUAUUAGAUGUGUGACAAGAUUUCUGUGAAAAUCAGAUCAUUUUACAUUUCCCCUCAUUUCUGUUAGCAUAAUCAUCUCAUUGCUUUUUCUUUUAAAGUUUCCGUGUUAUCUAAGACCACUUGAUUGACAACUGUGAACCACCAGCUGCCUGGAAACCUCACUUCAGGAAACCUGCUCCCGAAUUUGAGGAAAGAAAGUUGAGACAACAUCUGAAUUGAAAUCAUAUAGACGAAAUGGCUGAGAAAAUGGCUUACCUCCACCCCGUUUUUAUUGGAGCAAUGGCACUCCACUCCAGUACAGAGUCGGACAUGACUGAAGCGACUUAGCAAUAGCAGCAGCAGCAUGCAAUCAUCUGAACUUCUGACUCAUUUCAAUAGACUUGGAGAAGAAUUAAGGAGCAGCCUUCUUAGUUCCGUGGUGUUGGGAGAGCUUAGGGGAGACAAGACUCGGUUGAAAUGAAAAAUGAUAUAAAAGACUCUAUGAAGACCACUAAUGUGAGUCCCAAAUAGUUGAGUUGCAACCUAAGUUGAAUGUUUGAGGGUGUCCAACUCUUGCUUUUAACAUUUCUAUUUAUAGAAGG
rnacentral:lncRNA from 1 species